UGACUCUCGGCAACNGAUAUYUUGKCUCUCGYAUCNAUGAAGAACRUAGCRAAAUGCKAUACUUGGUGUGAAUUGCAGAAUCCCGUGAACCAUCGAGUCUUUGAACGCAAGUUGCGCCCGAGGCUAUCCGGCUAAGGGCACGCCUGCCUGGGCGUCACGCCUAGUGACGCUCCGUGCC
rnacentral:rRNA from 1 species